CACGUAGGGGGGCGAGCGUUGUCCGGAUUUAUUGGGCGUAAAGAGCGUGUAGGCGGCUUGGUAGGUCCGCUGUGAAAACUCGAGGCUCAACCUCGAGAUGUCGGCGGAAACCACUUGGCUAGAGUCCGGAAGAGGAGAGUGGAAUUCCCCGGUGUAGCGGUGAAAUGCGCAGAUAUCGGGAAGAACACCUAUGGCGAAGGCAGCUCUCUGGGGACGGUACUGACGCUGAGACGCGAAAAGCGUGGGGAGCGAACAGG
rnacentral:rRNA from 1 species